rnacentral:lncRNA from 1 species
GGGAAUCGAACUUAGGUACUCGGAUGUAGGGGUGAAUACUUUUAACUACUUGAACUACAAACUCCUUGUGAGAAAGGCCCAGUUUAAGGACACAAAAAGAACAUGUAUUUGGGUGUGGUGUAGCUUUGUUGUGGGUGCAUUGACAAUUUAGCGUGUUACAAAAGUAUCUUAUAUAUAUCCUAUUGUUUGUCAAAAAUCAAACACGUAUUUCCUUUCGUGUUGUUUUUUCAUUUUAUGUAAGGG